rnacentral:rRNA from 1 species
UACAGAGGGUGCAAGCGUUAAUCGGAAUUACUGGGCGUAAAGCGUGCGUAGACGGUUACAUAAGUCGGGUGUGAAAGCCCCGGGCUCAACCUGGGAAUUGCAUUCGAGACUGCGUAGCUAGGGUGCGGAAGAGGGAAGCGGAAUUUCCGGUGUAGCGGUGAAAUGCGUAGAUAUCGGGAGGAACACCAGUGGCGAAAGCGGCUUCCUGGUCCAGCACCGACGUUCAGGCACGAAAGCGUGGGGAGCAAACAGG